AACGAACGCUGGCGGCAGGCUUAACACAUGCAAGUCGAACGGUGAACCAGGGCUUGCCCUGGGGAUCAGUGGCGAACGGGUGAGUAACACGUGGGCAACCUGCCCCUCACUCUGGGAUAACCCCGGGAAGCCGGGGCUAAUACCGGAUAUGACCCGUGCGGACAUCUGCACGGGUGGAAAGAUUUAUCGGUGAGGGAUGGGCCCGCGGCCUAUCAGCUAGUUGGUGGGGUAACGGCCUACCAAGGCGACGACGGGUAGCCGGCCUGAGAGGGGGACCGGCCACACGGGGACUGAGACACGGCCCAGACUCCUACGGGAGGCAGCAGUGGGGAAUAUUGCGCAAUGGGCGAAAGCCUGACGCAGCGACGCCGCGCGGAUGAUGAAGCAUUUCGGUGUGUAAAGUCCUGUCAGCAGGGAAGAACCGUACGAAAAGUAACUGUUUCGUGCCUGACGGUACCUGCAGAGGAAGUCCCGGCUAACUC
rnacentral:rRNA from 1 species